rnacentral:lncRNA from 1 species
ACGUUUAAAAUGUAACAUGUAUAAAAAAGAUUCGUAUUUGAAGUAAAUACUUUUUUACGAUAACUAAUAUUAAGCUACACAGCCAAAAUACUAUCUAGGAUAACUCAAAAAUGGUGACUGUCUCUAGAUUGUUUUUGAAGACUUUUGUUUCUAUAUUGGUGAUGUUGAUUGUUAUUUGUUCUAUUGGAUAUUGCGAGAUCGAAAGGGAGAACGAAAGGGAGAACGAGAAUGAGUACGAAGGGUAUGAACCUUACGAUAAAUGUAAGUCUUUUAUAUAUACAUCAGUCUAAGAAAUUUGUUUAUAUCUUGUUAUAUGUUUAUGUAGUACUAAAUUUUCUACAUUUUUUUUCCAUGUUAAAUAUCACACAAAUUGAAACAUAUAAAACAAAAUUCAAGUUACGAAAUAAAGUAAAAAAGUGACAAUUUCAAUAUCUGAAAAAAAAGAUGAAGAUAAAGGAUCAUUCUGCUUAUAUUUACCAGCAAAUCUAUUUUUAUUUUAUCUUUUUGUUCAUCAAACAGUGCCUUUAUUUCAAUAGCAACAUGUAUUACUUCCAUUACUUUGACUGACAAUAAAUUUAUAACGACCAAAGUCAGUACCUAGAUCAAAGACAGAAAUGAUUAAUCCGACUUGUUAUUGCUUGAUUUAUUUCACUUGACUGGGCGUGGUUUAACCAAAGCAUACACUCAGUUCAUUUGUAUAUCAGUUCGAUGACACUGAUUGGUGAUUACAAAUCAACUAUAACGGCCAUCAUCCUUAUUGCUCACAUCUUUAAAUAGACUGUCCUUAUGCAUAUUGAAACGUGACCUCCGCCCGAUCAGUUGAAAUAACAUUGGUAAUAGUAUCACAUAUCAAAAAAAAUUAUCAUUAACUCAAUCGUUAAACAUACAUGGUUGAUUCCAAAAUUUCUAACGUACAUGUGAUUGGUAACAUUUGACAUACUAUACGCAAUUAAAGCAGUAUUGAAUUUAUAAAUUUACGGCAUAAUGUUCCACUGAGGUAAAUAAGCAAGACCACAUCAUCGAUCUAAACUAUUAGACUAAUAAACAUGUUAGAUAAAUAACUAUUGUUGACAAUUGAGCGUCAAGAGUUUAUAGUUGAGAUAUUUAAAUAAGGGAACAUCUAACAAAAAUAAAAAUAUUGAUUUACACAUCACAAUACCAACUUUUAUCAUCCGCGCGGGAGAAUAACUCAGACUGUUGAACAUUGCGCUGGUUUGGUAGAAAGAGGGCACAAUUAAAUUGACUGAAAAUAUCAAAAUCCUUACUUUAACAUGUUUCAUUUGUGAUAACGUAAUGAAUUAUAAUAAAUUAUGUUAUCAAUAGAAAAAAAUCAUUACUUCUUUUGAGACGACCCCUUUAAAAAAGGUUUAUUGUCUCUCGAGUCUCGUUUGUUGUUUGUCAAAAGUAUUCAUGACUCUAUCACGUCUAUUAUAUUAUUUGAUCGAUCUUUGCUUUAUGUAGGAUUAUGCGGAAGACCUUUCUUUUACAUGUUUUGAUAAUGUUCAAUUACACAUUGUUAUAGAGAUUAAAUGUUCUUCAUUGUCAUUUUCAGAAACAUAUCCUGAAACCACACGUAUGAAAUUUUUGGAAUGAAGAAAGAUGAUCAACUGAAAUCGAUGUUCAUUGGCAAAUCCAUCUAUAAUUUUUAUUUACAAUACCAAAUAACUUUUAUAAAAGACAGAAUAACAUUUAAUAAAGAAAAAAAGUGCAAAUCUGAUUAGGAAUGUCAUGAUAUUAGGUUUAGGAUUUAUUUAGGAUAUUAGAUCAUCCAAAGCGACAACGACUUAUUCAGUAUUUUUACUAUUCAGUUUAAUACUAGAAGAAGAUAUUGGGUGCUAUUAAGCUUGUAUAAAGCGUUGUAAUUAACAGAUUCGGGUUUAAACUACAAUUGUUAAUUAUGCCUUUGUGUCGUC